UCCUGGUUAACCCAGGCAGUCUCGUUAGAGUCCCCAGCAUUACCUGUUGGCAACUAACAAUAAGGGUUGCGCUCGUUGCGGGACUUAACCCAACACCUCACGGCACGAGCUGACGACAGCCAUGCAGCACCUGUGCAGAGUCCCCGAAGGGCUGUACCGUUUCUGAUACAUUACUCUGCAUGUCAAGCCUAGGUAAGGUUCUUCGCGUUGCAUCGAAUUAAACCACAUGCUCCACUGCUUGUGCGGGUCCCCGUCAAUUCUUUUGAGUUUCACCCUUGCGAGCGUACUCCCCAGGCGGCACACUUAUCGCGUUAGCUUCGGUACGACUAGGGUUGAGUCCAGUCACACCAAGUGUGCAUCGUUUAGGGCGAGGACUAC
rnacentral:misc_RNA from 1 species